GUCUCAAGAAUACGGGUCAAAGGGUUUGAGGCUGACAUUAUGAUCUGCAGAGAGUAAAGAUUCUAGUUAGACUUUUAUACUUGAUCCUUAAUCUGUUCUAAGGUCUUUUAGAACAAAUGUACCUCCCACUAUUUUCUCGAAUUCCUCACACUCUCCUGGUAGGAAAACGGAAAUCCUACACGACUAGGAUUUCUAGUGGGUACUGCGGUCCCACCGAUUUACAUGCCACCUCACCUAACAGUUAUUGGUGACACAUAAAUUGA
rnacentral:lncRNA from 1 species